AGUGGCGAACGGGUGAGUAAUAUAUCGGAACGUGCCCAGUAGUGGGGGAUAACUGCUCGAAAGAGCAGCUAAUACCGCAUACGACCUGAGGGUGAAAGGGGGGGAUCGCAAGACCUCUCGCUAUUGGAGCGGCCGAUAUCAGAUUAGCUAGUUGGUGGGGUAAAGGCCUACCAAGGCAACGAUCUGUAGUUGGUCUGAGAGGACGACCAGCCACACUGGGACUGAGACACGGCCCAGACUCCUACGGGAGGCAGCAGUGGGGAAUUUUGGACAAUGGGCGCAAGCCUGAUCCAGCAAUGCCGCGUGCAGGAAGAAGGCCUUCGGGUUGUAAACUGCUUUUGUCAGGGAAGAAAUCUUCUGGGCUAAUACCCCGGGAGGAUGACGGUACCUGAAGAAUAAGCACCGGCUAACUACGUGCCAGCAGCC
rnacentral:rRNA from 1 species